rnacentral:rRNA from 1 species
AUUGAACGCUGGCGGCAUGCCUUACACAUGCAAGUCGAACGGUAACGGGUCCUUCGGGAUGCCGACGAGUGGCGAACGGGUGAGUAAUAUAUCGGAACGUGCCCAGUAGUGGGGGAUAACUGCUCGAAAGAGCAGCUAAUACCGCAUACGACCUGAGGGUGAAAGGGGGGGAUCGCAAGACCUCUCGCUAUUGGAGCGGCCGAUAUCAGAUUAGCUAGUUGGUGGGGUAAAGGCCUACCAAGGCAACGAUCUGUAGUUGGUCUGAGAGGACGACCAGCCACACUGGGACUAAGACACGGCCCAGACUCCGACGGGAGGCAGCAGUGGGGGAAUUUUGGACAAUGGGCGCAAGCCUGAUCCAGCAAUGCCGCGUGCAGGAAGAAGGCCUUCGGGUUGUAAACUGCUUUUGUCAGGGAAGAAAUCUUCUGGGCUAAUACCCCGGGAGGAUGACGGUACCUGAAGAAUAAGCACCGGCUAACUACGUGCCAGCCGCCGCCGUAA